AGCUAAAGGAGGUUCCCCGGCGCUUGCCGUGGAUGGAGAUCCGUCAACAUGCUCGGAAUCAGCGUCAGCUUUGGCUGAUUGGACAUUAAAUCUCGGGGAUUACUUCAUAAUAGAAGAAGUUUCAGAAACAAGAAGUGAAUCACAAUGGGUUUCAUCCGUUGUAAAAGCUACAUCGGAAAAUGCAGGAUGGGAUUCAACAAAUAUUAAAGGUCCUAACGAUAAUAGCGUGUGGAUGGGCGAUGCUCAUGUCCAUGCUGUUCAU